rnacentral:rRNA from 1 species
UACGUAGGGUGCGAGCGUUAAUCGGAAUUACUGGGCGUAAAGCGUGCGUAGGCGGGAGUUUAAGUGCAAUGCGAAAUCUUGUGGCUCAACCAUAUAGACUGUAUUGCAUACUGGACACCUAGAGGACGGCAGAGGCAAGUGGAAUUACUGGUGUAGCAGUGAAAUGCGUAGAUAUCAGUAGGAACACCAAUGGCGAAGGCAGCUUGCUGGGCCGACCCUGACGCUAAGGCACGAAAGCGUGGGGAGCAAACAGG